UCAUCAUUUUCCCCGACAUUUUAGCUAGGUAACUAUAUGUUACUUCUCUUCUUAAUCGAUCUUGAUUAAUACCCACUUCGAAUACUCCCAAGAAGUGGACUAUUUAUGGUAUCCUUUGGGGAUUGGAGGUGAUCAUGUGCUUGAUGAGAUGCUAUAUAGAUCAACAAUGAGAAAAAUGUCUUAAGAGAAUCCAAGAAGAUGAUGAGGUCAACCGGCAUAGCGGUUUUUCAAAAACCUAGCAUUAGGAGGUUGCAUUUGCAUGUGCUUGUACUGCUAUGCAAUCCCAUUGGAUGCUUUUAUUAUU
rnacentral:misc_RNA from 1 species